rnacentral:rRNA from 1 species
GUCGAGGGGGUUUAUUGUAGCAAUACAGUAGAUCACCGGCGCACGGGUGAGUAACACGUGAGAAUCUUCCUUGAGAUGGGGGAUAGUCAGUAGAAAUACUGGGUAAUACCGUAUAUGCCGAGAGGUGAAAGGGGCUUGUGUCCCGUCUUGAGAUGAUCUUGCGGCCAAUUAGCUAGUUGGUAGGGUAAAUGCCUACCAAGGCGACGAUUGGUAGCCGGCCUGAGAGGGUGUACGGCCACAUUGGAACUGAGACACGGUCCAGACUCCUACGGGAGGCAGCAGCUAAGAAUAUUCCGCAAUGGGAGAUAUCCUGACGGAGCGACGCCGCGUGAACGAAGAAGGCAGAAAUGUUGUAAAGUUCUUUUAUGCGGGAAGAAUAAAUAUAGUAGUGGAAAGACUAUACGAUGACGGUACCGUAUGAAUAAGUCACGGCUAACUACGUGCCAGCAGCCGCGGUAAUACGUAGGUGACAAGCGUUGUUCGGAAUUAUUGGGCGUAAAGGGCAUGUAGGCGGUUAGAUAAGUGUGAAUUGAAAUACCGAAGCUUAACUUCGUGUAUGGUUUGCAAACUGUCUGACUAGAGUAUGGAAGGGGAGACUGGAAUUCCGCGUGUAGGGGUGAAAUCUGUAGAUAUGCGGAAGAAUACUUGUGGCGAAGGCGAGUCUCUGGUCUGUAACUGACGCUGAAAUGCGAAAGUGUGGGGAGCAAACGGGAUUAGAUACCCUGGUAGUCCACACUGUAAACGUUGUACACUAGGUGUUAGGGGUAUCGACCCCCCUGGCGCCGAAGCUAACGCGAUAAGUGUACCGCCUGGGGAGUAUGCUCGCAAGGGUGAAACUCAAAGGAAUUGACGGGGGCCCGCACAAGCGGUGGAGCAUGUGGUUUAAUUCGAUGUACGCGAAAAACCUUACCUGGGCUUGACAUAGGCAUGACCGAUACAGAGAUGUGUCUUUUCCUUCGGGAACAUGUUUACAGGUGCUGCAUGGCUGUCGUCAGCUCGUGUUGUGAGAUGUUGGGUUAAGUCCCGCAACGAGCGCAACCCUUACUGUUAGUUGCCAUCAGGUGAAGCUGGGCACUCUAACGGAACUGCCGAUGACAAAUCGGAGGAAGGUGGGGAUGACGUCAAGUCCUCAUGGCCCUUAUGUCCAGGGCUACACACGUGCUACAAUGGGCUGUACAAAGGGUAGCGAUAUCGCGAGAUGGAGCCAAUCCCAAAAAGCAGUCCGUAGUUCAGAUUGGAGUCUGCAACUCGACUCCAUGGAG